CCGCAGACACCCUGGGCCACAUCGAGGGCUAACGGGCCUGUUCUGGGAGUUCAUCGUGGCGGAACUUUUGCAAUCCUCUGUCUGCUCCCCUGCGCACUCUCCAUCGCCCCCAGAGCUACACACCCAAUCCCUCGCUCUCUCGGCGAGAUCCAAGACGGCCGCGUCAGCUGGGAGCGGACGCACGCGAGAGGAGUUCGAUGAGCGUGAGCUGGAGGUGGCUGCCAUUCUCGCGGAACUGUAGUCCAUCGUGCGGGCCAGUCAGUAGGAGUCAGGCGCGGCCAGAGAUCCCCUCAUGGGGCCGGCGCCAGCCGAGGAAGGCCCUAGCGGCACCGCCGUCCGAGAAGCCCGCGGCAGAUAGCCCGGACACCCCAGAUAGCCGGACGACGAGGCGGCGGCAGUGCAUGACAAGUCGGCGUAGGAGCAGUGCGGCGAUUUUGACGAGUAGGAGAUGGAGCACGUCACAAGCACCCCGACUGCACCCUGAGGUUAUCCAUCAGGUAGACUAUCAUCACACUGCGGUUCAUGAUGCUGCUCCCAAGCUUCCCGGCAAGAUUGUGCGAGUCACAACUUGCAUGACGCAGAUUCUUUUGCUAUACUUCGGAAGCCGGCAAUAGCAGCGGCAACAUCGACGACGCAUCCACGGGCUGGACAAAACUUGAUUAGCUUACUACUGCAUCAAUAAUUUGUGCCUGCAGGACUCUUUCACAGAUCAUGUCAACGAGAUUACCAAUUUGAAGAGGCUGCACAUGAUCUGAAAAUAUUGGCAUAUACAGUCCUGAACAUAAGUUUCAAAAUAGCAAGUCCGUUGUAGCAGUCAAUUUUCCUAAUGUACAGUAACCUCAUUUGCAUCUGCCUAACCUUUCCUAACUACCUCUCUGUGGUUGGUUGAAGGUGUGGAGUUUAGUCUUGUUCCGCUGUGAGGAAAGCCAUGACCUCCACACAGAUGAUGCAAGUGGAAACAAGCUAGACUCUCAACUUUGGUUUUCAGGCAUCUUCACCAACAAAUAUUACCCUGGUACUGACAGGUUGUUAGUAUUAUAUAAGUAUACUUGUUCAGCCUUUCCAUUGCUGGUCCGAAUAUUUAAACAAGGAAGCAGGCCCAGUUGCUCACCAACCUACUAUUGCUGCCAAUAAGUAGCCAGAAGCCUAUAGAGUGAUAGAAGACAUCUGCAUUGAUCACAGAAAAAUGAAGUAUUGAAUUUGUAGGAUGUUGUCAACAUUGUCAUCCUAAUCUGGUUCCCACAUAUUCAAGAUGUGGAGAUUAGCCCUUUGCUCCAACAAAGCCAUGACCUUCAAUUUUGUUGUUAAUUUAACAACUGUCUUGGUUGUGCCGAUCGAUCGGCCUAUAAGAUCCAAUUUGGUCCUGUGAACUAAAGCUUCCUAUUUUUCAUGAUUAUAUUAAGAGCUUCCUAUAUUUCAUGAUUAUAUUAAGAACUCACAUAUCUCCUUCAGUGCCACACCUGACCGGCACAUCAUCCAGAUUCAAGAGAGCCCUACUACUGCAUCCACCCUAGAAUCAUAUCUCCGUCUCGUGUGAACCAAUUUUAAGCCCGAUUGAUGGCAAGUGCAUUGCAUGUCAAAUCGAGGACUUCAGAGCCUGGCUGCAGGCCUCGCGAGCACCAAUGACAGCCUCAAGCAGAUUCAGCAGAGCAAGGUGAUGAGUACCCAGCUGGCUGGUCAAUCUGAAUAAUCUUAUUGGCCAGCAAAGCGGAGAUGGAUGACCACGGUCCUGACCUUAGCAGCAGACAGAGACAGUAAAUGGGAUCAAGGGAAGUUGGUAGGGCUCCAGCGGCACAUGCUUACCAGUUACCACUGCUGGCUGUUAGCGGGAAAGGUAUGUUGGUUUGACUUUUUCAAGAUCCCGAACUAAAACAAGUCACCUGCGACAUUUGAGUGAUGCAAAGGUUUGCUGUCUCUUCCCAGGAAAUUGUGUGCAGAGAAGCUGCCUUGAUUUUUAAUACUGAACCUAUUUUUGCAGAACCAAACACUAACGAUAAGAGAGAUGAAUGUGCAGUAUGCUAAAUUUGGGUAUCCAACUACAGAAGAAAUGGAUUUUUAUUUAUAUUAGAAGCUAGGUUAUCACUUUUGAUUUUAAAUUGAUCGCUCAUGGACAGUGGCAUCUUAAUUGGCCAUAAACACAGCCUAAUUCAAUACCUCCCUUCAAAUUUGCAACUAAAGGGAAGGUGAGUUUAAAUGUCUCAGCCCCUGUGACCUGGCUGGCCUUUGUGUUAGAAGAUUCAAAGGGAAUGAAAAGUUGGAGGCAACAAGGCCACCUCUUAUCUGGGUUCUUUACAUAAAAAUAGUGAGGGUCAUAUAACCUGCCAUCGAUUUUGAUAAUUUCAUCAUGUCCCACCAAUUUAUACAUGUGUAUGAUUCGAAAUCAAUAAGCCAACUCAAGGAGUGGGUCCCGGAAUACAAGCAGGAAGAAAAGAGAAGGAAUUAAAAGGAGUAAACUCGGCUCUUAUGUAAGCAAUAAGGAAAGAAAUUAUUCCACUCAUAAGGAAAGAGAAGGAAUUAAAGGAAGUAAAUUCGGCUCUCAUGUAAGAAAAAUGGAAAGGAAUUAUUCCACUCAUAAGGAAAGAGAAGAAAUUAAAAUAAGGAGAAAACUCGGCUCUUAUAUAAGCAGAAAGAAAAGAAAUUAUUUCACUCAUAAGGAAAGGGAAGAGAUUAAAAGGAGUAAAUUCGGCUCUUAUAAAGCAAAAAAUGAAAGAAAUAUGAAGGAAUAAAAUUUGCUCUUAUGUAUGAGCAUUAAAGGAAAAGAAUAAAAAGAACGAUGCUGUUGCUGGAUGUGCACGGGCCGAGAAGGGAGCAAUUAAAAUAAAUAACAUCGGUUGCGUGCGUGCACUUGCACAUGGUCUAAUUCAAUGGCCCUUCUCUUCUCGCAUACAAAAUAGUUGGCCGGCAAUGACCAUUCAUACUUUUCUGUUGUUUUGAAUCUGUGGGGUACAUAUAAAUUAUGCUUGGUUAUUUUUAUAUUACAUCCCAUAUUAUGUGUACUCAUUUGAUCUAAGGUUAUUUUUAAUAACUUGGUUUUUUUUGUCACAAACAAACCGAUGAACCGGCGGUCCAACUUGUGACAGCUGCAACGGUUUGGUUGCCCGUUCGCUUUUAAAAAUAUAGUCUGAUGGCCAUGGUGAAAGAACACGACAUGAAGUGCUUUGUAUCCCUAGAACGAUGAGGAGACACGAGUAUGAAGUGUUUUGUUUGGGCCAAGCACUGCCGCCGCCUGCUCGUGUCUCCUCGUCAUUCAAUAUGUCCUAAAAAUGUACCAAUUUUUUUAAAUGUUUGUAUUUAAGAAUAUUUUCAAAAAUUAUAUAAAUCAAAAUUAUUUUUAAAAAUCAUGUGUUAAAAAAUGUGAAUUGUAAAAAAUCCCAUUUAAAAAAUGAUA